GACGCAACCACUUUCGUGAUUAACAUUUUAAGGUUAUGGUUUUCGGCCAAAUCCACGAAACCCCUGCAGAGUCUCCUCGGCCAAGCUGGGGGACAGUUCGCUACAAUGACCCCACUUUUUCAAAAUGCCAACAUCACACCAACGGGGAACCUCGGGGAGGUAGUCCAUGACAUACGCUCAGAUAUGUAGGACCUCACAGCAGUGGCAACUGCCCUUCAAUGGUACAUUUCCCAAAUCCACAAAAUAUGUUUGUUGGAAAAUUAGAACACAGCUCUUCUGUUUAUCUUCAAAAAUCACUCGGCUUUAGCGUCACUGGAAUGGAAAAGCAGUCGAUGUGGAACAGCGUCUGACAUUCCCCGAACUCUAAAUAUCUGGAAAUCCUUAAGAGAUCUCGAGUAGGAGCCGAAGCCACAUCGUCCGCAUUGUCAGUCUGUUGCUUUUGUCCGUUUAACGAGAAGAUUGUCCGAAGACCUUUCCAUGAUUAUUCUGAAGGCCUCUGAAAGAUCUUCCACAGACUGAAAUUUGUCAACGCGCGAUAGUGAUCAACUUCUGAUUAUAAGAUUUUGUUACUGACAGCUGCGUAUGGUUUCGUUGUACUCCGUAGAGUGGAGAAAUUCCGUCACAUUACACAAACAUAACAAGUAUUCCAGCGUCAAUGCGCCGCCUGGAGGCAGAUUUCAGUAAUCAGUUCAAAUUUGUUACAAAUAUUCGAUACAGAAUUUCAUUAAAGCUGAUGCACAAAUCGCUUCCGCAAAUCUCAUCAAAUUAUUCCACCUUAAUUGUCAGCUACCUCGUAAAGUGAAUCGGCGAGUGGAAAUUACGUCAGGCGAGCCUCCAGUUUGAUCAGAGCUUGACAUGGCGGUGCUCAGGUUCAGCUGAACAGGCGAAACUUGAUGAAGAACUGAUCGCUCUCUGAUUUACUCAACCUGAUCCGUAUUACUCUGAUCAUUUUAAUGAAGUUCCGAUUGGGUGGGUCUGAAGGUAAACUGAAGCCCUUCUCCCUGCGAUUAUUCGGAUCAGGUUCUGAUCAGGUUAACCUGACCUCAAA